CAGCAGCCGCGGUAAUACGAAGGGGGCUAGCGUUGUUCGGAAUUACUGGGCGUAAAGCGCACGUAGGCGGAUAUUUAAGUCAGGGGUGAAAUCCCGCAGCUCAACUGCGGAACUGCCUUUGAUACUGGGUAUCUUGAGUAUGGAAGAGGUUAGUGGAAUUGCGAGUGUAGAGGUGAAAUUCGUAGAUAUUCGCAGGAACACCAGUGGCGAAGGCGGCUAACUGGUCCAUAACUGACGCUGAGGUGCGAAAGCGUGGGGAGCAAACAGGAUUAGAUACCCCGGUAGUCCCUGUCUCUUAUAC
rnacentral:rRNA from 1 species